GGUGGGAGCGAGCCUGCUCGCGAAGGCGUCGGCACAUUCAACAUCUUUGCUGACUGAUACACCGCUAUCGCGAGCAGGCUCGCUCCCACA
rnacentral:misc_RNA from 1 species